rnacentral:lncRNA from 1 species
CAUCAAUUUCAUCAUAUAUCUCCUCAGGGUAAUUCAACAAAGGCAAAAAGAAGGAGGCAAAACAUGUAUGUUUAGACCUGAAGGAUUUACUACUGUAUAGCCUUAAAUGCAGGAAGCCCUUCAGAAUAAAUGAUUUUAAAGCUUGUGGCCCACUGAAUACCCUUGAAUGUAGGAUUACAUAUAUGAGAUAUAUAUUUGUCCUGUUCUCACGCACAUUGCCAAAAGGAAAUUCCAUUAAAGUUAAUGGGAGGUAGAUGAACAUAAGUGAAGAAAGCUACAUCCCUGAGGAGGUAAUAAAGAUGUUCCAUUUUCUGCCUACAUAAAAUGUCAGAGCCAUCUAAGACUAAUCUUGCUUAUUAUUAAGGAAAAAAAUUGCUUGAAAGCUGCUGGAUAAAUAUAAGUGAAAAUACAAGACCUUGUCUGUAUGUCUAAGUAGAGUAGUAAAAUAUAAAUGAUGCUUAAUCCAUUUAGAUAGAUACAUAUAGAAAGCUAACAUAAAUGCAACAAAUGUGCUGUGAUGGAAAACUAGGCAUUAUGUAGAGUAGCUGUGCUUAGGGAACAAGUGAGGCAAUGCAGCUGCUCCCAUUAAUCAGGGAAAUCCAUCUAUGUUUCUGCUCGUUCCCACAGCAUUAACAACUUCGUUUUUUAAUUCUGAAUAUGGGUAUAAGAUGGAUGAUCAUGUGAUGAGUAUUUCACUGUAAAUGAGCAGACUUUUCAGCCUGGUCACAGACACACAACACUCCUGGAUUGUUCUCACAGUAGUUGUGAAUAACAAGAAAAGAGUUGUUUUCCAGCUGUUGUCUAUAUCUUCACCUGAAAUCAAAAAAAAGGAGGGCAGGGAAAGAUGCAUGUAGCAGUUUCCUGCUUAUUUGGAACAGAAGUAAUUGUUUGAAGUCAGUUAAAAAACGUGUGUUAGUGAUUGCUAUCAUCGAAGCAGCAUUUGGAAGUCCAUGCUAUUCAUUGUAUAACUGUUUUUAUUUCUGUCAUGUCUGGCUGUCAGUUGCCUUCUGUCAGUGGGUUCGAAUUAAGUAAGUGUUGCUGUUCUAGCAUUUGGAAAUUGGGGGAAAAUGUGGAGGCAGUUACUUCUACAAAGUUGGGGUGUGGGCUACUUAUACAUUUCUGAUGUAGCUUGUGUAAUGCUUAAUCUAUUGUAAGAAAUUCACAAUAAAAGACGUGUGCGAUUAACUUGCA